UAAUUUUUGGCUCAAGCAGGCGUUGAAACUUAAGAAACCAUGUGUGUUCCGAAUUUGUUUGAAGUGUGUGUUUCAAAAGUAAACUGUGAUAUGAACUAUUAAUUUUCGAUGAUUUUGAGUGACGUACCUCAGAUACCUAACUGCGUCUUCAGCCCUGAUAAUCCUUUACAAUUGAACUGUACGGAUUUCUUUGGAGAAUCUGUGUUUUUGUGUUUCAGACGCUGGAGGAGGGAUGUAGGGGGCGCGAGGGCGACAUCGUCUCGGAGGCGACGGCCGAGUUGCGGAGAGGGCGCAAGUGGCCGGCGCGGCGCCCACAGCUCAGCGCCGCGGCCAUAAUGUCAACGCGCCCAUUUUCAAUCGCUGAAGCCAACCUGAGUUUCGGAUAGCGAACACAUCGUAGAACCGCCGUCUGGAUGGUUUCAUGAUGAGAAAUGGAAUCACCAAUAACAGCAACAUUGUCAGUGGUGCCGCCAAGCAUAUUGUCGCAGACGACGCCCAGCAGCUACUUACCGCGCCCAAAUUUUGGCUCCGACCAAGUGAGAACACCCUGAGCCCUCAUUCAUGCCAGUCGGUAGUUGAAUUGAGUCCAAUCGCUGUGAGCGAAAAUGAAGGAGACAAUUCCAGAAAAAACAGCUGUCAAAGUGGCACCGAACCAAAUCAGCCUCUCAGUAAGUGAUGUUUUGAAUUAUUUGUUGGUUUGUACAUAUGAACCAUUACUUGAUCUAUGUAGAUAAAUGCUAUAUUAUAUACUGCCGUGCUAAGCAAGAACACUGUAAAUCCAUCAAGAUUUUCCCUCGUUUUGGGAACUUAACACUUUCUAAAAUAAAAAUUGUUUCACCCAUGCACCUCAAAUUUGUAGGUCAAGCUCUUGAUAAUAUUUGCGAAAGAAUUCUGUUAA
rnacentral:lncRNA from 1 species